rnacentral:lncRNA from 1 species
UUGCUCUAGAUCCUGCAUCGCGCACUCCCUUGCCCCUACAACUUUUGAUUCCUUAUCAUUUAAGGGUAUUUGGGUCAUUUUGCCUUCACCCAGCUCAUCCAAAAUAUGAAAUUUAGGUCCCCAAGAGCAUUAUUUGCUCUUUUCAUCACAAAUUCUCUCAAAAAAAGCCUCUCUUUCCUCAAGAACAAACCCUAACCCAUUCCCAAGUAAUCAAGGAAUUCAAGCUUCAAAUCUC